AGCUCCAAUAGCGUACAUUAAAGUUGUUGUGGUUAAAAAGCUUGUAGUUGGAUUUCUGCUGAGGAUGACCGGUCCGCCCACUGGGCAGUAUCUGGCUCAGCCUUGGCAUCUUCCUGAAGAAAGUAGCUGCACUUGACUGUGUGGUGCGGUAUUUAGGACAUUUACUUUGAGGAAAUUAGAGUGUUUCAAGCAAGCGUACGCCUUGAAUACAUUAGCAUGGAAUAAUAAGAUAGGACCUCGGUUCUAUUUUGUUGGUUUCUAGAGCUGAGGUAAUGAUUGAUAGGGAUAGGGAUAGUUAGGGGCAUUCGUAUUCAAGUGUCGGAGGCGAAACUCUUGGAUUUGUUAAAGACGGACUACUGCGAAAGCAUUUGCCAAGGAUGUUUUCA
rnacentral:rRNA from 1 species